rnacentral:rRNA from 1 species
UCGCGAAAACUUCGCAAUGCGCGUAAGCGUGACGAGGGGACCCCAAGUGCCUACUUACAAAGUAGGCUUUUACGGAGUGUAAAAAGCUCCGGGAAUAAAAGGUGGGUAAGACUGGUGCCAGCCUCCGCGGUAACACCAGCACCUUAAGUGGUGACCGCGUUUACUGGGUUUAAAGCGUGCGUAGUCGGCUCAGCAAGUCUUCUGUGAAAUCCUGCGGCUUAACCGUGGGGAUUGCAGAAAAUACUACUGGGCUCGAGGCCGGGUGAGGUGUGGGGUAUUCUAGGGGUAGCGGUGAAAUGCUAUAAUCCCUGGAGGACCACCGGUAGCGAAGGCGCCACACUAGAACGGGCCUGACGAUGAGGUACGAGAGCUAGGGGAGCAAACAGGAUUAGAUACCCUGGUAGUCCUAGCCGUAAACGAUGCUGGUUUAGUGUCCCCUAAACCUCGUGUUUGGGGGUGCUGAAGGGAACCGUUAAACCAGCCACCUGGGGAGUACGGUCGCAAGGCUGAAACUUAAAGGAAUUGGCGGGGGAACACCACAAGGGGUGGAUGCUGCGGUUCAAGUU